UACGAAGGGGGGCUAGCGUUGCUCGGAAUCACUGGGCGUAAAGCGCACGUAGGCGGCUUUUUAAGUCAGGGGUGAAAUCCUGGAGCUCAACUCCAGAACUGCCUUUGAUACUGAGAAGCUUGAGUCCGGGAGAGGUGAGUGGAACUGCGAGUGUGGAGGUGAAAUUCGUAGAUAUUCGCAAGAACACCAGUGGCGAAGGCGAGUUCCUGGACAGUUACUGACACUGAGGCACGAAGGCCAGGGGAGCAAACGGG
rnacentral:rRNA from 1 species